rnacentral:rRNA from 1 species
GACAGAGGAGCCAAGCGUUGUCCGGAUUGACUGGGCGUAAAGCGCACGCAGGCGGUCACGCGCGUGGGUGUGAAAACUCAGGGCUCAACCCUGAGCCUGCAGUCGAUACGGGCAGGCUAGAGUCCGGCAGGGGAGACUGGAAUUCCUUGGUGUAGCGGUGGAAUGCGCAGAUAUCAGGAGGAACACCUAUAGCGAAGGCAGCUUGCUGGGACGUUACUGAGCUAAGGCGCGAAAAGCGUGGGGAGCGAACAGG